CAACCGCGCCUCCUGCGCGGGACCGCCGGGAGAGCACGGGAGGCACCGCCAAGGCGCAGGAAGGGGCGGCGCCUGCGGGCGGGGCCGGGCCGGGCCGGGCGCCAGCGCCGCUCGCUGCGCUCUGGGGCGAGCCCGUGAGCAUACCAAGAAAACAGCUUAACUGGAUGCAGAACCUUGAUCCACUUCGGACACUGUAAGCUACUUAACUAGAGUAAAUAACAGAGUAAUGGAACACA